rnacentral:rRNA from 1 species
ACGGAAGGCAGCAGUGGGGGAUAUUGCACAAUGGGGGAAACCCUGAUGCAGCAACGCCGCGUGUGGGAAGAAGGUUUUCGGAUUGUAAACUACUGUUCUUAGCGAAGAAGAAAUGACGGUAACUAAGAAGAAAGCUCCGGCUAACUACGUGCCAGCAGCCGCGGUAAUACGUAGGGAGCGAGCGUUGUCCGGAUUUACUGGGUGUAAAGGGUGCGUAGGCGGCCCUGCAAGUCAGAAGUGAAAGCCCUGGGCUCAACCCCGGAACUGCGUUUGAAACUGUGGAGCUUGAGUGAAGUAGAGGCAGGCAGAAUUCCCGGUGUAGGGGUGAAAUGCGUAGAGAUCGGGAGGAACACCAGUGGCGAAGGCGGCCUGCUGGGCUUUAACUGACGCUGAGGCACGAAAGCGUGGGUAGCAAACAGGAUUAGAUACCCUGGUA